rnacentral:snRNA from 1 species
AUCUUUGCGCUUGGGGCAAUUACGCAGUUAGUGAGGUGAAAACCGAGACGCCUCAAUUGCUGGUUGAAAACUUUUUCCACAAUAUUUCCACACUUUUAUCAUAUCUGUUGUAAGUAUCUCCAGGAGCCUUGAUCUAAUAUUUAUCUGUAGUUGCCAGGAUUGAGGAUUUCUGAUCUUCAAUGGGA